AGCUCCGUAGCCCAACGGCAGAGGCAGCGGACCGAGAUUCCAUCCAGUGGGAGUUCGAAUCUCCCCGGAGCUACCA
rnacentral:tRNA from 1 species